UACGUAGGGUGCGAGCGUUAAUCGGAAUUACUGGGCGUAAAGUGUGCGCAGGUGGCCGCGCAAGUCGAGUGUGAAAGCCCCGGGCUUAACCUGGGAACUGCGCUUGAAACUACGAGACUCGAGUGUGGCAGAGGAAGGUGGAAUUCCACGUGUAGCGGUGAAAUGCGUAGAGAUGUGGAGGAACACCGAUGGCGAAGGCAGCCUUCUGGGCCAACACUGACGCUCAUGCACGAAAGCGUGGGGAGCAAACAGG
rnacentral:rRNA from 1 species